CAUACAACCAUUUGAAUUUGAAUGAAUGGCAGAUCGCUAGAUUGAGUUGCGUGCAGGAAGGCGACCUAGAAGACAUUCUAGUAAUUUUUAAAAAGGUCCGGGCCGUCCGGCAGAUCCGGGCGUCUGCAAUCAAACAAACACGUCCUCUUAUCCCUUUUGUGGCCAGCUAACAUCAACUGUUCUUCUCAUUAGACAGAGAAGAAAGACAAAGCGCCAGGGAAAAGGCCAAUGAUGGUGAAGGUCUUCUUUGUGGUAGAGAGCGAGAGACAGAGAGACCGCAGAUGCCGGCUGCCGACUGCACAAUCUUCCCUCAGCCAUGUUUAUAGCAAUGAUUUAUAGCGAUUUUAGGGGCAGAUUUUUGACUUUUUGUUUUUAUUUUUAAUUUUUAGUUUUUUAUCGAAGAGGAGAUUAGAAAUGGGUGGGUAUUUGAGAACCUUUCCCACUCUGAAACUGCUACACUGCUCUUUUUUGUGAGAAUAAUCAUAUGUUGGUUAUAUUGGAAAAAACAUGAGUUCAAAAUAGUGGGUGCCACAUCUAUACUACCCAGUUGUUUGUUCUGCUUUCAAUUUGCCGUUGUCAAAUUUAUCUUUUCCUUUUGCAGCUCGUCAAAUAUACAGUACUUGAUGUUGAAUAGUAGUUUCUCACGAGGUCGUGCUUUUUUAGUUGUUUAGUCCAAGAAGCAAGCUUCCCUCAUUCACUCUCUCUCACUUUCUAAAAAGGUAGAUCUCUUACUGAGUCUCAGGUCACGCUUAUAAAUAGAUGACGGAGGAGGUUUCAUUCUGCAGUGCACUCAUCCAGUCUUCCUCCACCAGUUGCAGUUGCAGUUGCUAUUUACAAACAAUGAAGCGAGUUUCCCUUUCAAUCCUCUUUCUUGCCCUUCUCUUGCUGUCCUCUAUGGCUUUUGCACGUACACUACAUGAGAAUAAAAAUAAGAAGGAUUACAGAGGCCAUUGCUUUACCUGCCUUCGUCAUGGCGUGUGCUGCAAAGACUUUUGUUGCACCAACCGAUGCUGCUCGGCGGAGGAGUACGCUGAGUUACUGAAAGAGACGAUUGUCCCUCAGAACUGAGGCUUCCUGAUUCGCCGGUGUUGACGCAUGUUGAUGAUAAUGGUAGCAGCGAAGGUGCUUGUCAAUAAUAAAGUAAGCGUGCAUGCUUACAAUCGAGCAUGCAUGCAGGGUAUGUGUGUCCUGGUUCUUGUUGAUUUUGCAAGAACCUUAUCUGUACGCUUUAUGUCGCGUGGAAUGAAAUAAAUUAGUUAAGCUCUGCCAAA